rnacentral:rRNA from 1 species
GACGGUACUUGAGGAAUAACCCACGGCUAUUUCCGUGCCCGCCCCCGCGGUUAUACGGGAGUGGCAAGCGUUUUCCGGAUUUAUUGGGCGUAAAGCGUCCGCAGGCGGCCCUGUAAGUCUGUCGUUAAAGCGUGGAUCUUACCUCCAUUUAAGCGAUGGAAACUACGGGGCUUGAGUGUGGUAGGGGCAGAGGGAAUUCCCGGUGUAGCGGUGAAAUGCGUAGAUAUCGGGAAAAACACCAGUGGCGAAGGCGCUCUGCUGGGCCAUAACUGACGCUCAUGGACGAAAGCCAGGGGAGCGAAAGGGAUUAGAUACCCCUGUAGUCCUGGCCGUAAACGAUGAACACUAGGUGUCGGGGGAAUCGACCCCCUCGGUGUCGUAGCCAACGCGUUAAGUGUUCCGCCUGGGGAGUACGCACGCAAGUGUGAAACUC